rnacentral:rRNA from 1 species
UACGGGGGAUGCAAGCGUUAUCCGGAUUUAUUGGGUUUAAAGGGUGCGUAGGCUGUGAGGUAAGUCAGCGGUGAAAUGCCCCCGCUCAACGGGGUGAAGUGCCAUUGAUACUGCCUUGCUGGAAUGCGGAUGCCGUGGGAGGAAUGUGUGGUGUAGCGGUGAAAUGCAUAGAUAUCACACAGAACACCGAUUGCGAAGGCAUCUCACGAAUCCGCGAUUGGCGCUGAUGCACGAAAGCGUGGGUAUCAAACAGG